rnacentral:rRNA from 1 species
CCCUUAGAUGUCCUGGGCCGCACGCGCGUUACCCUGAUGCAUUCAACGAGCUUAUAACCUUGGCCGAGAGGCCUGGGCAAUCUUGUUAACGUGCAUCGUGAUAGGGAUAGAUUAUUGAAAUUAUUAAUCUUGAACGAGGAAUUCCUAGUAAACGCAGAUCAUCAAUCUGCAUUGAUUACGUCCCUGCCCUUUGUACACACCGCCCGUCGCACCUACCGAUUGGAUGGUCCGGUGAAGCCUCGGGAUUGUGGUUCUUGCCGCUUUAUUGUGGCGUGACCGCGAGAACUUGUCUAAACCUUAUCAUCUAGAGGAAGGUGAAGUCGUAACA